rnacentral:rRNA from 1 species
CAAGUCGAACGAAUCCCAGGGGGCAACCCCUGGGGGAAGUGGCGAAAGGGGCAGUAAGGCAUGGGUAACCUACCCCGGGGACCGGGAUAGCCCUUCUAACGAGGGGGUAAUACCGGGCGAGGUAACGGAGGGGCAUCCCCCUGUUACGAGAGGAGUUUCGCCUCGGGAGGGGCUCAUGUAGUAUUAGCUAGACGGCGGGGUAACGGCCCACCGUGGCGAAGAUGCUUAGCGGGUGUGAGAGCACGACCCGCGCCACUGGCACUGAGACACUGGCCAGACUCCUACGGGAGGCUGCAGUCGAGGAUCUUCGGCAAUGGGCGCAAGCCUGACCGAGCGACGCCGCGUGGGCGAUGAAGGCCUUCGGGUUGUAAAGCCCUUUAGCGGGGGAGGAAGGCGCAAGCUUGACCGACCCCGAGAAUAAGCACGGGCUAAGUUCGUGCCAGCAGCCGCGGUAAGACGAACCGUGCGAACGUUGUUCGGAAUCACUGGGCUUAAAGGGCGCGUAGGCGGCCCGCCAAGUCCGGGGUGAAAUACUCCAGCUUAACUGGAGAAGUGCCCUGGAAACUGGCGGGCUCGAGCGAGGUAGGGGUGAUGGGAACUUCCGGUGGAGCGGUGAAAUGCGUUGAUAUCGGAAGGAACGCCGGUGGCGAAAGCGCAUCACUGGACCUCUCCUGACGCUGAGGCGCGAAAGCCAGGGGAGCAAACGGGAUUAGAUACCCCGGUAGUCCUGGCCCUAAACGAUGGGUACUAGGUAGUAAGCUUACAUGGGCUCACUGCCGAAGCAAAAGUGGUAAGUACCCCGCCUGGGGAGUAUGGU